rnacentral:piRNA from 1 species
UGGCACUUGAAAGCCGUGUGACCUUGGU